ensembl:lncRNA
AUGGAGGGUUGUGCCAAAAAAUGCAAGGAAGAUGCCAAAAAACGACAGAAAAUGUCAAAAUUUUGGGAAAGUGACCCGAAACCUACAGAAAGAGACCUGAAUCUUAUGGAUAAUGACCCAAAUCCUAGGGAUAAUGACCCAAAUCUUAUGUAUAAAGACCGAAAUCCUAGGGAUAGAGAGCAGGAACCUACAGAUAGCGACCAGAAUCCUAUGGAAAGUGACCUGGACCUUAUGGAUAAUGACCAGGAACCUAUGGAUAGCGACCAGAAUCCUAUAGAAAGCGACCUAGUGGAUAACGACCAGAAAUCUAUGGGUAGAGACCACAAACUUAUGGACAGAGACCGCAAACCCAUUGAUAACCAUGAAAAACCUAUGGAUAUCUACCAGAAAUCUAUGGGUAACCAUGAAAAACUUACAAACAGCCACCAGAAAUCUAUGGGUAACCAUGAAAAACCUAUGGAGAGCCACCAGAAAUCUAUGGAUAACCAUGAAAAACCUAUGGAGAGCCACCAGAAAUCUAUGAUAACCAUGAAAAACCUAUGGAGAGACACCAGAAAUCUACGGAUAACCAUGAAAAACCUACGGAGAGCCACCAGAAAUCCAUGGGUAACCAUGAAAAACUUACAAAUCGCCACUAGAAACCUAUGGAUAACCGUGAAAAACCUAUGGAGAGCCACCAGAAACCUACUGAUAACGACUUGAAACCUACAGACAGUGACGAGUAACCUAGGGCCAGCCACUAGAAACCUAUGGAAAAUGCCCCACUGAUGGAGAAACACCUUUUUGCUGUAGUGGAGGACCCUGUGGCCCCCAAGGGAUGUAUAGGAUCCCCACCCCGGGUCUCUAUAGGGGACACCCAGGACCCACAGGGUACUCCCAUGGGUUCCUAUAGGGAUCUCUAUGGGAUCCUACAGCGUGGAGCUCUAUAGGUUCCCCUCUCUGAAGGACACAACGUAGGGAUCCCUCCCCCCACAGGGAACCCCCUAUAGGGCCCCAAGGGUGCACAGCAGCCCCUAUAGGGCCACGCAGGGAGAGUUUUCCAACCCCACAGGGCCCACACAGCGCUUUCCCCCAUUCGCACCGCGUGUGGGGGAAGGGGGGGGGUGAGGGGAACCACACGGCCCCAAACCGCUUUCACACCCCCACCGCCCCCUACACGGACCCCGACCCCCCACCCCGGGGCAGCCCCCACAGCCGGGCCGCGUAAUUCCCGCGGGAUAUGGAGGAAAUUGGGGUGGGGGAAGGGGGGAGGUUCACUCACAGCUUCACCACAUUCUGUACCACCGCCGCCAUUUUCCCUCCGCCGCCGCCGGAGCAAUGCGCUGCGCGCAUGCGCGGGGAGCGGCAGCGCUGCGCCUGCGCAAAAUGGCGGCGCCCUUCCCCCCCCCCGCUUCCCCGCCUUUUCCCAGAGCGUCCGCAGGGGGGGGGGGGGGGGUGAGGAGUUUUGCGCAUGCGCAGGGGAAAAGGCGGGAAGGCGGUGAGGUGCGAAGAGGCGGGAAAAUCUGAAGGGAAGGGGGAAAAUCGGAAGAAAAAAGAGGGUAAUGUAGAGGAGAAUGGGGAAAUAUGAGGGAGGAUGUGGAGGAAAGGGGGGGAAUUGGAAGGAUAAAGGGGAAAUAUAGAGGAGAAUGGGAAAAGGUGAGGGAGGAUAUGAAGGAAAGGGGGGAAAUUGAAAAGGUAAUGGGGAGAAUAUGGGGGAAAAUGG